rnacentral:rRNA from 1 species
UACGUAGGGUGCAAGCGUUGUCCGGAAUUAUUGGGCGUAAAGGGCUCGUAGGCGGUCCAUCGCGUCGGGAGUGAAAAGCUGGGGCUCAACCCCAGUCCUGCUUCCGAUACGGGUGGACUAGAGGUAUGCAGGGGAGAACGGAAUUCCUGGUGUAGCGGUGAAAUGCGCAGAUAUCAGGAGGAACACCGGUGGCGAAGGCGGAUCUCUGGGCCUUACCUGACGCUCAGGUGCGAAAGCGUGGGGAGCAAACAGG